GCAAUCUGUUCAUGGGGGCUAAGACAGGUGCAGAAUAGACCUUUGUCCCUCCGCACCUCAAGGGGCCCACGCGGCGCCGGAACGUAGCGUCAUCGCCAAUGACACGCGUCGCGUAUAACCCAAUGGGCGCGCAAUGGCGGUGGUAAAUCGUUCCAGCACCGCGAGGCCGCAAACCUAAAGGAGCCCCUGAAGGCAACAGUGCGGUGUCUUGGAGUCAGAAAGACGAUGACAGUCAACUUGGCGGGAGGCCGAAGACUCUCUCGAGGUCCCCCAUCGAUCGGAGCUGAUAUGCCUGCGCACCAUCACCUCUUCGGGCAAAUAUUCUGCCAUUCUUCGUCCACGAGUACCGCCACUGAAGCCUGCGGCACUCCUCGCGCACGCGGUGGUAGAGCUGGCGGUUGGGACGAGUCAGCCUCUCGUUGAUGAAGACGCGCGCGCCGCCCUCGCCGGCCAGGCCCCGGCGCACGCGCGCGGCCUG